rnacentral:misc_RNA from 1 species
UCCGGUUUGGCACCGGCAGUCUCCAAUGAGUCCCCGGCAUUACCCGCUGGCAACAUUGGACAGGGGUUGCGCUCGUUGCGCCACUUAAGGCAACACCUCACGGCACGAGCUGACGACAGCCAUGCAGCACCUGUGCAGGCUCCCGAAGGAGCACCGGCUUUCACCGGUUUCACCCUGCAUGUCAAGCCCUGGUAAGGUGGGGAUGACGUCAAGGUACGGAC